AAGUGGUCAGGAUGAUUAUUGGGCCUAAAGCAUCCGUAGCCUGCUUUGUAAGUUUUCGGUUAAAUCCAUAUGCUCAACAUAUGGGCCGCCGGGAAUACUGCACAGCUAGGGAGUGGGAGAGGUAGACGGUACUCGGUAGGAAGGGGUAAAAUCCUUUGAUCUAUUGAUGACCACCUGUGGCGAAGGCGGUCUACCAGAACACGUCCGACGGUGAGGGAUGAAAGCUGGGGGAGCAAACCGGAUUAGAUACCCGGGUAGUCCCAGCUGUAAACUAUGCAAACUCGGUGAUGCGUUGGCUUGUAGCUAGCGCAGUGCCGCAGGGAAGCCGUUAAGUUUGCCGCCUGGGAAGUACGUACGCAAGUAUGAAACUUAAAGGAAUUGGCGGGGGAGCACCACAAGGGGUGAAGCCUGCGGUUCAAUUGGAGUCAACGCCAGAAAUCUUACCCGGAGAGACAGCAGAAUGAAGGUCAAGCUGAAGACUUUACCAGACAAGCUGAGAAGUGGUGCAUGGCCGUCGCCAGCUCGUGCCGUGAGGUGUCCUGUUAAGUCAGGUAACGAGCGAGACCCUUGCCUCUAGUUGCCACCAUUACUCUCAGGAGUAGUGGGGCGAAUUAGCGGGACCGCUGCAGUUAAUGUGGAGGAAGGAAAGGGCCACGGCAGGUCAGUAUGCCCCGAAACUCUGGGGCCACACGCGGGCUGCAAUGGUAAUGACAGUGGGUUUCGAAUCCGAAAGGAGGAGGUAAUCCUCAAACAUUACCACAGUUAUGACUGAGGGCUGCAACUCGCCCUCACGAAUAUGGAAUCCCUAGUAACUGCGUGUCAUUAUCGCGCGGUGAAUACGUCCCUGCUCCUUGCAC
rnacentral:rRNA from 1 species